rnacentral:rRNA from 1 species
UACGUAGGGGGCUAGCGUUGUCCGGAUUUAUUGGGCGUAAAGAGCGUGUAGGCGGCUAGGUAGGUCUGCUGUGAAAACUCGAGGCUUAACCUCGAGACGUCGGCGGAAACCAUCUGGCUAGAGUCCGGAAGAGGAGAGUGGAAUUCCUGGUGUAGCGGUGAAAUGCGCAGAUAUCAGGAAGAACACCCGUGGCGAAGGCGGCUCUCUGGGACGGUACUGACGCUGAGACGCGAAAGCGUGGGGAGCGAACAGG